rfam:Pseudomonadales bacterium CV58 contig_21, whole genome shotgun sequence.
UUCUGUGCAGGUGGAGAUGCACGGCUUUUAAGUUUGUGUCGAUAGUGUCCACAACUUAAAAGCCGAUUCCUCCUCCUGUUUAAAAAAGUGCUUGAUGCUCCAAAACUUGGAGACGUUGGUCGCGGCUCGGCUGAUAAAACCUGCGCCGCUUGACACAGAAAACCGCCGCAAGCGGUCUCUGACGCGCACCUGCACCGGAUGGGAAAGUCUUGUGUGCCACCUGUGGUUUCCGUCGCUUUAAGGAAACUA